AGACGGAGGGUCCUAGCGUUGUUCGGAAUAACUGGGCGUAAAGGGUACGUAGGCGGUUUGGUCAGUUAGAUGUGAAAGCCCAGGGCUCAACCUUGGAACUGCAUUUAAUACUGCCAGACUUGAGAUCGGAAGAGGAAAGCGGAAUUCCUAGUCUAGAGGUGAAAUUCGUAGAUAUUAGGAGGAACAUCGGAGGCGAAGGCGGCUUUCUGGUCCGAUACUGACGCUGAGGUACGAAAGCGUGGGGAGCAAGCAGGAUUAGAAACCCUAGUAGUCC
rnacentral:rRNA from 1 species